rnacentral:tRNA from 1 species
UCCUUGGUGUCUUAGUGGUAAAGAAUCUGCCUGCCAGUGCAGAAGACACGGGUUUGAUCCCUGGACUGGGAA